AAAGUCGUAACAAGGUCUCCGUAGGUGAACCUGCGGAGGGAUCAUUGACGAAUGGCCUCCGUGCCUUCGAAACCCCUUCAACCUCGUGGAACAGAGCCAGAUGUGCUUCGGCGCCCACAUCGGGCGCCGCCUUCAUGCCGUAUCUAAAGCCUUAUGUCCGAGCAACUUGAAAAGAAUCAAAACUUUCAACAAAGGAUCUCUUGGCUCUC
rnacentral:misc_RNA from 1 species